rnacentral:lncRNA from 1 species
GGCAGCAGAGAGGCAGGAGUGCUGUGGAGCUGGCUUCUGCUUCUCUCCUGUCUCCAGAGGAGGCUCCUUGUCUGGUGCUGGCUCUGGCUGCAGAGCAGGCCCAUGGUGUUCUGGACAUGGAGCCGGAGCUAGGAGGAGGAAAGCUCAGCAGUGUCAGUCACUUGCCAGUUCCCUGCGGAGCAUAGAAAAGACAUCCUGGCCAUUUGGGGGAUUCCAAUGCCCAACCAAAAGCCAUGAAAGCCUUCCGGACUGCUGUGGCCCUCACCAUCUGUUUCGGCCUCGUGGGGCUCUAGAUAUUCCACCUGAGCAAGGGGAAGGCACAAGGGAGGCUCCAUGUCUGCUCCAGGGGUCAGGACGGGAGACAGCUUCAGAAGGGCACCCAGUUUCGCUGGGUUCUAAUACCAAGGAAGUGAGGUCGCAUCCUCAAAGUUUCGCUACAGUUAGGUUCACAAUCAUUUGAGGAGUGGCUACAUGUACAUAACAGAGCUUGAAGGGCCGGGGAUUUAGCUCAGUGGCACCAUGCCUGCCUCACCAGCACAAGGUCCUGAGUUCAAUCCCCGGUACCAAAAGAAAGAAAAACCAAAAAUACCAAAACAACAACAACUCAUAGUACAGCUUAUAUAUAUUACGAGUUUUAGAUUUAUAUACAAUUAAGAUGGCCACCCAGUUCUUCCAUUUCCUGUUAUUAAUGUCAUCCAUUAGUCUAGUACAUCCUGUACAAGGAGUGAGCAAAUAUUGAUGUAUAAUUACUAACUAAGAUCCACCUUCACCACUUGCUCUCCACAACAAUCUGCAGUCCCGUCCGGGCUGCCACAUUGCAUUUCAUUGUUGCAUCCCUCAGACGCCCCUUGACUGAUGUUUUCACAAGUUUUCCUUUUUUCGUUUUGUAUGAGCUGACAGUUUGGAGGAUGACUGAGCUGAUAUCUUAUAGAAUGUCCCUCAAUUUAAGUUUUCCUGAUGUUUCCUUCCUGAUUAGAUGAGGGUUACAUGUUUGGGUGCGUGGCUUUCUGCAGGUGUUCCAUGUUCCUGACUGCACCCUCAUCCUGGGUUCUCCAGUGCACCUUUGGCUUAACUCUCACAGCUGCAUGCACUGCCCUCUCAGGGACACCCAGCCUGGCCUGCCAGGCCUUCUUUUGAAAUUUGGGUGGAAGCCUUCCUGACUCAACUCUUGCGUUCUGCAUACCUGUGAAAACAGCACCCUGUAGAUGACACAAAGUUCUACCACUGGCUCCAAGCAGUCCUUAGGCCUUUGUGCAUCAUGGCUGCAGAAGCAUCCGCGGGCCUGGAUGGCUGAGCACUGUGAACUGAAUGAAUCCCAGGGAACCCGCCCAG